UGUAGGUCUGGCCCUGACAGUGCUGAGCAGCUGCCUGAGGAUCUGGUUCUCAGACAGAGCCCCCCUGGGGGUGGGGAAUCUGGAAGAGGAUUGAAAAUGUAGCUAAUUAAUUCUGCCGGAUUGAAUUCACUGGGAAUGAGCUCUGGAGAUAAGGGAAGAAGCGGAGCCAGUACAAGGUGGCUUCUCCUCAACACAAGAUGAGUCCCAACCUGCUAGAACAAGGAUCGAGUAGAUGUGUUAAUGGUAGAAUGACAUCGCUGUACGACUUGGUGGGAUUAAACCAUGCAGGUUUGAGGGAGGCUUUGGGAGAGAAGCCUAUUGGGCGGAGUUCAGCUGAAACAUAAUCGAUAAAAAUCUCAUGAUCAGUGUCAUCAUAGCUGGUCUGCUGCCUCUGAAUCUGUGAAGUGAGUGUGCAUGCAGUUUAUUUCCUGGAACACUGCAGAUCUGUGUAUUUAGUUUUGUUAUUAAAUGCUUUCCUCCACUGA